AUGCCCGAGCGAGCACGCGCGCGCGCUCACGCUCGCCGGCAUACAGACACACGGAGAGUCAGGCUAGCAUCUGAUGCUGACUCAGAGCGCUUCUGUGUGCAAGGGGUGGCGGCGGCUGGUAUUUUCACUGCGCUCAUCAUUAACAUUAACGCACAGUCUGGCAUCCACCCUCUCCCAGACCUGCUGGACUGCGGCAUUUGCAUGACGCUGUCACUCUUGCCUCUGCAGGAAUUAGAAGACCAGCCCUGCCAGGAUCUGACUAAUCAAUGUGAUUUACACUGUGGUGAAAUGCUAAAUUGUGGACUGACAUCAACCAACAAGGACAGAACUAGCCAUCGGUGACUCUACAGCAUACAAAAAAGGCAUACAAAAGGGAAGCAAAGGACACCAUCCUCCAGCCAAUGCUGUCUGGUGCAGCAGAUAUGCCAGUUUACUCUCACAGACAUUCCCAGCAUGCAGUGCGGCGCUGCAGGACCAACUAAG
rnacentral:lncRNA from 1 species